AUGCACCGAAGCUGCGGCAGCGACACUGUGUGUUGUUGGGUAGGGGAGCGUUCUGUAAGCCUGUGAAGGUGUACUGUAAGGUAUGCUGGAGGUAUCAGAAGUGCGAAUGCUGACAUAAGUAACGAUAAAGCGGGUGAAAAGCCCGCUCGCCGGAAGACCAAGGGUUCCUGUCCAACGUUAAUCGGGGCAGGGUGAGUCGACCCCUAAGGCGAGGCCGAAAGGCGUAGUCGAUGGGAAACAGGUUAAUAUUCCUGUACUUGGUGUUACUGCGAAGGGGGGACGGAGAAGGCUAUGUUGGCCGGGCGACGGUUGUCCCGGUUUAAGCGUGUAGGCUGGUUUUCCAGGCAAAUCCGGAAAAUCAAGGCUGAGGCGUGAUGACGAGGCACUACGGUGCUGAAGCAACAAAUGCCCUGCUUCCAGGAAAAGCCUCUAAGCAUCAGGUAACAUCAAAUCGUACCCCAAACCGACACAGGUGGUCAGGUAGAGAAUACCAAGGCGUUUGAGAGAACUCGGGUGAAGGAACUAGGCAAAAUGGUGCCGUAACUUCGGGAGAAGGCACGCUGAUAUGUAGGUGAAGUCCCUCGCGGAUGGAGCUGAAAUCAGUCGAAGAUACCAGCUGGCUGCAACUGUUUAUUAAAAACACAGCACUGUGCAAACACGAAAGUGGACGUAUACGGUGUGACGCCUGCCCGGUGCCGGAAGGUUAAUUGAUGGGGUCAGCGCAAGCGAAGCUCUUGAUCGAAGCCCCGGUAAACGGCGGCCGUAACUAUAACGGUCCUAAGGUAGCGAAAUUCCUUGUCGGGUAAGUUCCGACCUGCACGAAUGGCGUAAUGAUGGCCAGGCUGUCUCCACCCGAGACUCAGUGAAAUUGAACUCGCUGUGAAGAUGCAGUGUACCCGCGGCAAGACGGAAAGACCCCGUGAACCUUUACUAUAGCUUGACACUGAACAUUGAGCCUUGAUGUGUAGGAUAGGUGGGAGGCUUUGAAGUGUGGACGCCAGUCUGCAUGGAGCCGACCUUGAAAUACCACCCUUUAAUGUUUGAUGUUCUAACGUGGACCCGUGAUCCGGGUUGCGGACAGUGUCUGGUGGGUAGUUUGACUGGGGCGGUCUCCUCCUAAAGAGUAACGGAGGAGCACGAAGGUUGGCUAAUCCUGGUCGGACAUCAGGAGGUUAGUGCAAUGGCAUAAGCCAGCUUGACUGCGAGCGUGACGGCGCGAGCAGGUGCGAAAGCAGGUCAUAGUGAUCCGGUGGUUCUGAAUGGAAGGGCCAUCGCUCAACGGAUAAAAGGUACUCCGGGGAUAACAGGCUGAUACCGCCCAAGAGUUCAUAUCGACGGCGGUGUUUGGCACCUCGAUGUCGGCUCAUCACAUCCUGGGGCUGAAGUAGGUCCCAAGGGUAUGGCUGUUCGCCAUUUAAAGUGGUACGCGAGCUGGGUUUAGAACGUCGUGAGACAGUUCGGUCCCUAUCUGCCGUGGGCGCUGGAGAACUGAGGGGGGCUGCUCCUAGUACGAGAGGACCGGAGUGGACGCAUCACUGGUGUUCGGGUUGUCAUGCCAAUGGCACUGCCCGGUAGCUAAAUGCGGAAGAGAUAAGUGCUGAAAGCAUCUAAGCACGAAACUUGCCCCGAGAUGAGUUCUCCCUGACCCUUUAAGGGUCCUGAAGGAACGUUGAAGACGACGACGUUGAUAGGCCGGGUGUGUAAGCGCAGCGAUGCGUUGAGCUAACCGGUACUAAUGAACCGUGAGGCUUAACCUU
rnacentral:rRNA from 1 species